rnacentral:rRNA from 1 species
GGAAAAUUCUUCCUUGUUGAUGCGGGGUAUGCUGUGAGGCCGGGUUUUCUUCCACCAUACCGUGGCACGAGGUACCACUUGAAAGAGUAUGGACGAGGGAACCAUCCUCAAAAUGCUAAAGAGUUGUUCAACUUAAGACACUCUUCUUUGAGGACAACGGUUGAAAGGGCUUUUGCCGCAUACAAAAACCAUUGGAAGUUUGUCUACAAUAAGCCGUUCCAUGGUUACAAGACCCAAGUAAAAGUAGUGCUAGCUUGUGCAAUUCUUCACAAUUGGGUACUUCAAUAUGGUGAGGAUGAGUAUUUCCCACCUGAGGAAACAUGGGAGCCAGAACCCAAUGAUGAAGAUCACAAUGAUAUUGUCCAUGACAAUAUUUCUUGGGCUCAUAAGAGAGAUGAAUUUGCAAAUUAG